rnacentral:rRNA from 1 species
GACGAACGCUGGCGGCGUGCUUAACACAUGCAAGUCGAACGAGGUCCACCGCGUAGCAAUACAAGGGAAGACCUAGUGGCGAACGGGUGCGUAACACGUGAGGAACUUGUCCCGGUCUCUGGGAUAACAGUUGGAAACGACUGCUAAUACCGGAUGACGUCGGAGCAUCGCAUGGUGCGCUGACGAAAGGGUUACUGGAUCGGGAGAGCCUCGCGGCCUAUCAGCUUGUUGGUGGGGUAACGGCCUACCAAGGCAUCGACGGGUAGCUGGUCUGAGAGGAUGAUCAGCCACACUGGGACUGAGACACGGCCCAGACUCCUACGGGAGGCAGCAGUGGGGAAUCUUGCGCAAUGGGCGAAAGCCUGACGCAGCAACGCCGCGUGCGGGAAGAAGGCCCUCGGGUUGUAAACCGCUUUCAGCAGGAACGAAAAUGACGGUACUUGCAGAAGAAGGUGGCGGCCAACUAACGUGCCAGCAGCCGCGGU